rnacentral:rRNA from 1 species
CCCUUAGAUGUUCUGGGCAGCACGCGCGCUACAACGGUCUUCGCAAACGGAUGCAUUCUCGAAGGAGAAUGCCAAUCUUGGAAUCUAUGCCUUGGUCGGGACAGUUGCUUGCAAUUUUUCGACUCGAACCAGGAAUUCCUUGUAAUCGUGAUUCAUCACAUCACGAUGAAUACGUCCCUGCCCUUUGUACACACCGCCCGUCGCUCCUACCGAUCGAAGAGUUAGGUGAAUUGUUUUGAUCGAUAAGAUUUGACUAUGGUCAACUCUCGUUGUGAAAUUCUGUGAAUCUGACUGUUUAGAGGAAGGAAAAGUCGUAACA